ensembl:lncRNA
AAAAUGUUACCAGAUGUUAAUUAAGUGCCUACUAAGUUCCAAAAUUUAAGCCCAAGUGAAUGAGAGAAUAUUGGACUGUAAACAGAGUGACGUAAUGAGGAGAAACUAAUUCUUUAGAGAAGAUGAUGUUUCUCUUUUAGGUUAAGGUACAAGCUCGUGAGAUAUCAUAAGGAGACAGCCUCGCUGACUUGGAAAUAGUCUGGACAGAGAUGAGAGACUCAUGCAUGUGUGCUCAGUGAUGGGCACUGUCUGCCUCUUUGCAGGUUGACUCUGAAUAUGGGAAGCUGAG